GGAGGGGUCGCCUAGUUGGUCUAUGGCGCCGCCUUGGAAAGGCGGUUUACCCGCAAGGGUAUCGUGGGUUCGAAUCCCACUCCCUCCGCCA
rnacentral:tRNA from 1 species